rnacentral:rRNA from 1 species
UGGGGAAUAUUGCACAAUGGGCGCAAGCCUGAUGCAGCGACGCCGCGUGAGGGAUGACGGCCUUCGGGUUGUAAACCUCUUUCAGUAGGGAAGAAGCUUUCGGGUGACGGUACCUGCAGAAGAAGCGCCGGCUAACUACGUGCCAGCAGCCGCGGUAAUACGUAGGGCGCAAGCGUUGUCCGGAAUUAUUGGGCGUAAAGAGCUCGUAGGCGGCUUGUCGCGUCGGAUGUGAAAGCCCGGGGCUUAACCCCGGGUCUGCAUUCGAUACGGGCAGGCUAGAGUUCGGUAGGGGAGAUCGGAAUUCCUGGUGUAGCGGUGAAAUGCGCAGAUAUCAGGAGGAACACCGGUGGCGAAGGCGGAUCUCUGGGCCGAUACUGACGCUGAGGGGCGAAAGCGUGGGGAGCGAAC